ACGAACACAGUCCCCCACUACAACAAAUUAUGCAGUCGAGUUUUCCACAUUUGGGGAUAUCGCAGGGGUCAGCACAUCCGGAGUGCAAUCGAUGAGCCUCACACUGGGAAAAACCACCUUCGUGAUCAUGAUAUCUUCCCUGCCAGAGAGAAACCAAUCAGCUUCAUUUUCAACUUCUUCUAUGACUCCAGAGGAUUCACUUUGCAUCUUGUGACAAAUGAAGAUAUUACCUGGAAAAAAAAAAAGACAGGAUAGAUAGAAAGCAUCUACAGUACACAUCGGAAUGGAAACAUGUUGGAAUCUGUGAUAAAGCAGAUUGAAGAAAUAAUUUUUUAUAGGACUCUGGAGUGAAGGGAUUAAUAUUGACCAGAGCCAAUGAGGUCAUCUCAUCCUUGAGGGGUGCAGGUGUGAGCUUCAAAUGCUUAGGGCCUCUGGAAGGAAGCUUCCCUGUUGGAGAAAUCGCCAACCGGCUCAGCAUGCUCUGAAUGAGGAUGACAAAAGGCAAGUCAUAAUAGCAUUAGUAAAGACAUUCCUUAU